rnacentral:rRNA from 1 species
CCUACGGGAGGCAGCAGUGAGGAAUAUUGGUCAAUGGGCGCGAGUCUGAACCAGCCAAGUAGCGUGAAGGAAGACUGCCCUACGGGUUGUAAACUUCUUUUAUAAAGGAAUAAAGUGAGGCACGUGUGCCUUUUUGUACGUACUUUAUCAAUCAGGAAAGGCGAACUACGCGCCAGCAGCCGCGGUAAUACGGAGGAUCCGAGCGUUAUCCGGAUUUAUUGGGUUUAAAGGGAGCGUAGAUGGGUUGUUAAGUCAGUUGUGAAAGUUUGCGGCUCAACCAUGAAAUUGCAAUUGAUACUGGUAGUCUUGAGUACAGUUGAGGAGAGCGGAAUUCGUGGUGUAGCGGUGAAAUGCUUAGAUAUCACGAAGAACUCCAGUUGCGAAGGCAGCUUACUAAUCUGCCACUGACAUUGAUGCUCGAAAGUGUGGGGAUCAAACAGGAUUAGAUACCCUUGUAGUC